UAGCGUAGGGCGCAAGCGUUUAUCCGGAAUUAUUGGGCGUAAAGAGCUCGUAGGCGGUUUGUCGCGUCUGCCGUGAAAGUCCGGGGCUCAACUCCGGAUCUGCGGUGGGUACGGGCAGACUAGAGUGAUGUAGGGGAGACUGGAAUUCCUGGUGUAGCGGUGAAAUGGCGCAGAUAUCAAGAGGAACACCUGCGGCGAAGCGGGUUGCUGGGCCGACACUGACGCUGGAGGCGCGGAAAGCCAGGGGAGCGAAACGGG
rnacentral:rRNA from 1 species